rnacentral:rRNA from 1 species
AUUGAACGCUGGCGGCAGGCUUAACACAUGCAAGUCGAGCGCAUCCUUCGGGGUGAGCGGCAGACGGGUGAGUAACGCGUGGGAAUCUACCUUUUGCUACGGAAUAGCUCCGGGAAACUGGAAUUAAUACCGUAUGUGCCCUUAGGGGGAAAGAUUUAUCGGCAAGAGAUGAGCCCGCGUUGGAUUAGCUAGUUGGUGGGGUAAAGGCCUACCAAGGCGACGAUCCAUAGCUGGUCUGAGAGGAUGAUCAGCCACAUUGGGACUGAGACACGGCCCAAACUCCUACGGGAGGCAGCAGUGGGGAAUAUUGGACAAUGGGCGCAAGCCUGAUCCAGCCAUGCCGCGUGAGUGAUGAAGGCCUUAGGGUUGUAAAGCUCUUUCACCGGAGAAGAUAAUGACGGUAUCCGGAGAAGAAGCCCCGGCUAACUUCGUGCCAGCAGCCGCGGUAAUACGAAGGGGGCUAGCGUUGUUCGGAAUGACUGGGCGUAAAGCGCACGUAGGCGGACAUUUAAGUCAGGGGUGAAAUCCCGGGGCUCAACCUCGGAACUGCCUUUGAUACUGGGUGUCUGGAGUGUGGAAGAGGUGAGUGGAAUUCCGAGUGUAGAGGUGAAAUUCGUAGAUAUUCGGAGGAACACCAGUGGCGAAGGCGGCUCACUGGUCCACAACUGACGCUGAGGUGCGAAAGCGUGGGGAGCAAACAGG